UGCAAUAAAGUAAGAUAAAUAGCUUGACAUACGAGAUUACAAGAAAAAGGAACCAAACCGUGUUCAAAUGAUAAGACCCCUAAGACCUGCAAUAACAACACCAAACUCUUAUGGUGACCGCUAAGGGAAUCAACUCCGCCUUAUAACCACCGUUUCUAAGCAAAGAUCAAUAAUGACUUUUCCAAACCCUACACUACACUCUCAGAGAAGAAAAAAUCUUUCAAUGACUCUCAAAUAUCCAUAAUCACCUAAAGAGCAAAUGAUCUAAUAGAAGACUAUUUAUAGGCUAGCUUAUUACAUAGCAAAAUGACCAAAAUACCCUUAAUGAAAGGGGUGGUCAUGGAGUGUCUUUCCAACAAGUGUAAUCCCCAAAAUACCCUUAAUGAAGGGUGCUUCUUCAAUGCUCCAAAACCAAGGUGUCAUCCUUCAACACUUGUGGACUUGGGUUGGCAUCAAAGGUAAGCCCCCACGCAAUCUUCCACACAUGGAUUUGCUUUAUGUCAUGCUCAAAAUAGGUCCUCCAUGCAUGUUCUUGUGUCCUCGAGGUAACCAAGUCUUGAGUCUUUAUUCAUUGACCUCCAAUGAUGUCUUCAAAAGCAUAGAUGGCCAUUUGGCUUGUAUCAGGUGUGGAGAGAGGAACUUUGUAACUCAUAAAAACAAAAUCCCACCAAAGAGAAAAACGAAAUGUUACCUGAAUCUGAACAAAACUAAAGCUAAAGCAGCAAUUAACCAAGUCUUCCCGUUGAUUUUUUUUGUGAAAUCCAAUAAACAGAAGCUUCAAUAAAAUUCAAAAAGGUUUAAUUCUAGAAAAUCAUAAUUUUUUUUGAAAAAAAUUCUAUACUCAACUAGAAAUGAAUGUUAAUAAUGCAAAAAUGAAAAAGGAAGAUUUCUGUAUAAUCUAGAGAAAAGAAAUGAGCUUUUCUUUAUAUGGUUAAAAAGAAAGAGUUGAAUGAAUAAUUAUCUGGUAUUUUCAGUGGAAUGCUGGUGACAGUAGCCCAGCACCCAACCCUUGUCUCAAACAAAGAAAAUUAAGGUAAUCAAUUGAUCAGUGCAAAUAAAAGUCUUUUGUGUAGUUAGAUCUAAUAAUCACUAAUCACCCUUCCUAGAUAAAUAAAUUACCAAUAAAACUUAAGCCAGUAUAUCACCAUCUAAAGCAUUUUCUCAUGCUUUCUCGAUAAAUCUAAACUGAUAACCUAUUCAAAUAUUCUAAUCCUGGAAAGAUAAAGUUGUCUAGUUAAUUAUUUUUGGGGUUUGAAAGUUAGCACACGAGCCUAAUGCCAUGAUCUUUCAUUACACUUACUUUCAUGGUAACACAACAAGUGUUAUCAUUUGCAGGUUUUAACAGAAAUAAUUAAAGAUAUUUAAUGAACUAAUCUCAAGAGUAGCAACUACACAAUGUCCACUUAUUGGACUAUAAGCCAUACGAACAAUAGGCUAACCAAUAUCAAUCAAAGCACUCUUACUUUCCAUAUAUGGAUCAAAUUUUGACCAAUUAAAAUGCGAUUAGUAUCAUCAUAUAGUUUAUUAACAAAAAACAUAAAGCAUAUGUGAUUCAAUUUGUACCGAUUAUAUGGCUUCCAAUGGCAACAGCGAGAAACAUCUGAGUGGGAUGAAAUGCGAUAAAAAGUCUGCAUAAAAUCGAAAGAAAAUAUAAAGAACAAAAUUUACUCCAAUAACAAAAACAUUAAUAGAUCUUAAUGACAAUAUCGAUCAAUUGGGAAAAGAUGUAGAUGAGACUGAAAAAAUGAUCGAAGAAAUGGCCUCACAAUAUACAAGUAGCAAUGCACAUCCAUCUUAUAAUCAUGCUUUUGAAUGUUAUAACAAUGUUGUUAACAUAGCAAAUAAUUCCUAAGACCCUGUUAUAAGGUACUUCUAUUAUGACUAAAAGACUCGUAGGAAGAGGCAGAAAAAGAAAUAUAGAGGAGUUGUCAUGAGUGAAGAUCAAAGGCUUCUCAAAAUGACAAAACAAAAAUUUAGAAAUAAGGAGGGUGCAGCUAGAACACAUGAGAUGAGAUUGGUAAGCUAGAAAGAUGUUUCUUUUUAUUAAUUUUAUGACUUUUGACUAUCUCAAAAAUUCUAUCAUUUGAUCCUUCAUUUUUUUUUUUGUUUUUGUCUUAUAUCGACAUUUAUAUAUGUUUAUAAGACCCAUGAAGCAUAUUUGAAGUUUAACAUUUGGAGCUUCUCAUGGAGAAUGAUUACUUAAAAAAAAUUAUUAAGGUAAAAUUUAUUAAUCAUUCAUUUCAUCACCGUGUUGCUAUUUUAAUUUGUAUUCAUUUUUUGAAGUACUAAAGAACUUAAACAUUAAUUUUUUUCUUUGUUAACCAAUUUUUGAAAGACCAUAACAGUGUGAAUAUGUCGCCUCCUGAACCAUUGAGGAGGACCAUCUCAAGAGAAAAAAGUAACAGAAUGUUUGUAUCGUGUGAAUUUAGUCGAGAUGUGCUAAAGCGGGCCAGAACCAUUUGUAAGGUUCAUAGUAACUGUAAAACAUGUUGUCAUGAUAGUGCCAACAGAAGUAGCUUUCUCCAUUACUACUAAAGGAGAUAUAUUUCCCAAUAUCCUUCUUAGCUCUUUUAGAUUUAGUAAUGCUAGAGUUACUGUGAUAUCCUAGUUUUUCUUUAUUUACUUGUGUAAGAUCUUUUCAUAUCUGUGAAUUAGAAAGGUCCUAAAAUUAGUUGUCAAUUCUAUUAUGGUAAGGAACUAAACUUCUUCUCAUACGCACACAAACAAAUUUCAUUUUUUAUUUUUUGCAUUAACACAUGCAGCUAAGCUCGUUGACAUAGAAAGUAAUACCCCCCGUUUAAAAAAGAAUGACCUGCUUUCCCUUUUAGUCCAUUUAAAAAAGAAUGACCUCUUUCCAUUUUUGGCAAUACUUUAAUUUCAACUUUCCACAUAGCGACCACAAGACUAAAGAAAAUUUUGGUACAUUUGACACAAUUUUAAUUUAAGGCCACAAGAUUCAAAAAUCUUCUUUAUUUUCUUAAACUUUGUGCCAAGUCAAAGUACGUCGUUCUUUUUGAAAUGGAGGGAGUAAUAUAUAAACAUAUAUAACUAUAAUAAUAUUGGCACAUAAAAAUCUACAACAAUCUGUAGCAAAGAUUCAAGAAAAGAGAAUUAAAAAUAGCUGGUACCUGUAAAGGACAGACUGAAAUAACCAUUGUUGAGUGAACUAUCACACUAAUUUUUUUUUUGGUAGGUUAUACUGCUGGGCCUAAUUCUCAAUACCAGCUAUCCGAAUUUAGUGGAUGAGACAUCCAAUGUACCAACUCCCAUUUGCAGUUAUAUAUGACAACAAGAUGCCCAAACAGUUUAAGAUCAGAACGGUUAUUUUACUUAAUAGUAGUGCAACUUUACUGAGACAAAAGUAACAGAAAUAUUGGCUAGUUUCAAGUAAGUAAAAUAAGAUGUUUACUCUACAUCCAUUACCACAGACUUAUCUCGAUGGACAAUGCCAGCGAAAUGACAACUGUUGGCAAAUAAUUUAACUGAGAGCAGCCAAAAAGUCUGAUGGCUGAUGGAGUAAGAGGAGCCCAAACAAAGAAGCCUGAUCAAUAGAUUAAUACUGAGGUUAUACACAACCCCCCACUACAAUUAGUAUCACAACAAUAACACUUAAGUUCCACUUCAGAUAAAAGAUCUAUGGAAGCAUUCAGCUUUGGAUGAAAAAGUUAAAAUUGAUAGCUAAAGAGGUUAACACUAUUGGAAAUUUAGUCCAACAUAGGUGGAUUAGUCGAGUGUGUGCAAGCUAACCUAGAUACCGCAGUUAUUAUACUGUCAAUUCGCAUAGCCUAAGGUAAGUCAUUAUUUAAUUAAUAUGUACCAAUCAUAAAGGAAAUCAGUCUUCAGGAAAUCUAACCUGCUGUACAAUUAAUGACCCCUCUACACAACUUAAUGGCUCUGUCAAAAUAGUAAGAAAACCAUUUCUAUUAUCAUAAACUAUGUCUGUAAAUGGCCUAUCAACCAUAUGUGUAGGACACAACAUAAACAGUCAACUUAAGAUGGAGAAGUUGACAAAAAAUUUAAAAAAUCAAAAUAUACCAUGAAAUCAAGAUGGAUAAUAACGAUAACAACAAUGAAAAUAGCCAAUAAAAUUGUGCAAUUUGAAGAUAAUUGAAACAAAAUUAAGAAAAAAUUUAAGACAAUCACUAAC
rnacentral:lncRNA from 1 species